CAGGUUUACCUGUGUGACUGCGUACCUUUUGUAUAAUGGGUCAGCGACUUAUAUUCUGUAGCAAGGUUAACCGUAUAGGGGAGCCGGAGGGAAACCGAGUCUUAAUUGGGCGUUAAGUUGCAGGGUAUAGACCCGAAACCCGGUGAUCUAGCCAUGGGCAGGUUGAAGGUUGGGUAACACUAACUGGAGGACCGAACCGACUAAUGUUGAAAAAUUAGCGGAUGACCUGUGGCUGGGGGUGAAAGGCCAAUCAAACCGGGAGAUAGCUGGUUCUCCCCGAAAGCUAUUUAGGUAGCGCCUCGUGAAUUCAUCUCCGGGGGUAGAGCACUGUUUCGGCUAGGGGGCCAUCCCGGCUUACCAACCCGAUGCAAACUGCGAAUACCGGAGAAUGUUAUCACGGGAGACACACGGCGGGUGCUAACGUCCGUCGUGAAGAGGGAAACAACCCAGACCGCCAGCUAAGGUCCCAAAGUCAUGGUUAAGUGGGAAACGAUGUGGGAAGGCCCAGACAGCCAGGAUGUUGGCUUAGAAGCAGCCAUCAUUUAAAGAAAGCGUAAUAGCUCACUGGUCGAGUCGGCCUGCGCGGAAGAUGUAACGGGGCUAAACCAUGCACCGAAGCUGCGGCAGCGAACGUAUCACCCAAGACAACUUUACGGAGUUGACGAUUGACGGAGCGAAGCGACGUCAAAGCGUUCAUUAAAGUCGAGUUGGCUUAGGGAUACGUUCGUUGGGUAGGGGAGCGUUCUGUAAGCCUGUGAAGGUGUGUCGUGAGGCAUGCUGGAGGUAUCAGAAGUGCGAAUGCUGACAUAAGUAACGAUAAAGCGGGUGAAAAGCCCGCUCGCCGGAAGACCAAGGGUUCCUGUCCAACGUUAAUCGGGGCAGGGUGAGUCGACCCCUAAGGCGAGGCCGAAAGGCGUAGUCGAUGGGAAACGGGUUAAUAUUCCCGUACUUGGUGUUACUGCGAAGGGGGGACGGAGAAGGCUAUGUUGGCCGGGCGACGGUUGUCCCGGUUUAAGCGUGUAGGUGUGUGUUCCAGGUAAAUCCGGUUCACUUUAACACUGAGGCGUGACGACGAGGCACUACGGUGCUGAAGCAACAAAUGCCCUGCUUCCAGGAAAAGCCUCUAAGCAUCAGGUAACAUCAAAUCGUACCCCAAACCGACACAGGUGGUCAGGUAGAGAAUACCAAGGCGCUUGAGAGAACUCGGGUGAAGGAACUAGGCAAAAUGGUGCCGUAACUUCGGGAGAAGGCACGCUGACACGUAGGUGAAGUGAUUUACUCAUGGAGCUGAAGUCAGUCGAAGAUACCAGCUGGCUGCAACUGUUUAUUAAAAACACAGCACUGUGCAAACACGAAAGUGGACGUAUACGGUGUGACGCCUGCCCGGUGCCGGAA
rnacentral:rRNA from 1 species